AUACGGAAGGUCCGGGCGUUAUCCGGAUUUAUUGGGUUUAAAGGGUGCGCAGGCGGAAGAUUAAGUCGGCGGUGAAAUUUUGCAGCUCAACUGUAAAAGUGCCAUCGAUACUGGUUUUCUUGAGUGUGGAUGAAGUAGGCGGAAUUUGUGGUGUAGCGGUGAAAUGCAUAGAUAUCACGAGGAACUCCGAUUGCGCAGGCAGCUUACUAGGCCAUAACUGACGCUCAGGCACGAAGGCGUGGGGAUCAAACAGGAUUAGAUACCCUGGUAGUCCACGCAGUAAACGAUGAUUACUCGCUGUUUGCGAUACACAGUAAGCGGCUUAGCGAAAGCGUUAAGUAAUCCACCUGGGGAGUACGUUCGCAAGAAUGAAACUCAAAGGAAUUGACGGGG
rnacentral:rRNA from 1 species